CACUCUUCCAACAGCCGCCGCCGCCGUACGAGGUAGCCGCGCCGAGGAGCGAGCGCCGCCGCCUCCGCGAUGAGGGCCAAGUGGAAGAAGAAGAGGAUGAGGAGGCUCAAGAGGAAGCGCCGAAAGAUGAGGCAGAGAUCCAAGUAGGAGGAGAAGCCCCGCCUGCUUCUGUUUCUUGACCGCUUUCCACCGCCGUGUUCUCAUCGAUUUUAGUUCAGUACUCAAUUUAGUUCUUGCCAGCAGGAAAACCCAUCCUAGUGGACUGUAUCUUCAAUUUCGAACCUAUGUUCUCGCAUCCUGUUUGUGAUGUGUUAAUGAAGACUGGUGUUCUUCGAUAUUUACAUGCAGUUAGCGACAAUGCCAUCGAAAUCAUGGUUCUCGAA